rnacentral:lncRNA from 1 species
GCGGGGCUGGCCCGGGUUCCCAGCGCUUUCCCCCGCUGUCGGGUUUCCGCUUUUGGUUGCUUAGCUGCUACCACCGUUAACGCGGAGGUCGGAGGAACCCGCUCUUCUUGGAGAUUUCCUCGCGAGGACUCACUGCCCCCUUGCUUCCCCUUUUCCACCGCGAGCUCGGAAGUACCUAUCGCGCCACGCCUUCUCAGCUCCUACCCAUUUUCCUCUUACCAUUUUUUCUUUGUCUUUUUAUCACUCUUUCUUCACCUGCGCUAAUGUCUGCUGGCUGUAGAGGGCUUUGUGUGGUACAGCGUAAAGUAACCCUUCCACAAUAAUCUAAUGCUACAUCACAACACCUUUAUCAUUCACCUCACUUCAUCUCAUCACAUCGCUAUUGUAUCAUCUCACAUCAUCACAAGAAAGGAAAAGUAUUUUUGGUAGAAUUGGGAUUCAGCAGCAAACAGAAACUUAAAGUAAAGUGGUGUAAAGAAGGUAGACUGCAGUACUUCGAGCUCCACAGAGACAGCGAGGGCAAGCGAGAGCCGGCCGGGCGCUGGGCGACUCGGCCUCGCCGCGGAGAACAAGCAGACACGGGCCGAGGAGACCCCAAGAAGCCGGGAGGGCGGAACGUCACCGUGCGCAUUCUUCGUGCGAACCUGCGGAGAGGAGCACGAGAAGAAGCACCCAGGCGCUUCCGUUCCCUUCGGAGCGUUUUCCAAGUGCUCAGAGAGAGGGAGACCACGGCUGCUGAAGAGAAGGAAAAUCUGAAGACGUGGCAAAGGCGGACGAGGCUCGUUGCGCACACUCUCCUCCUCCUGAAGGAGAAACAAAGCAGAAGUUCAAGGAUCCCACUACGCCCCAGAGGCCGCCUUCAGCCUUCCGCUCUGCUCUGA